rnacentral:rRNA from 1 species
UAGGGAAUCUUCCACAAUGGGCGCAAGCCUGAUGGAGCAACACCGCGUGAGUGAAGAAGGGUUUCGGCUCGUAAAGCUCUGUUGUUAAAGAAGAACACGUAUGAGAGUAACUGUUCAUACGUUGACGGUAUUUAACCAGAAAGUCACGGCUAACUUCGUGUCAG